CUUCUCCCCCAAUUUCACAAAAUGCACAACCUCUUUCUUUCCCCUCUCUCUCUCGUCACCGAUCCGCCGCCCUGCCAGCGGCGGCGCCCCUUCUUUCUCCAUUGUCACUCUCCCUCUCGGUCAGAUUUGCCGCACCGCCGCAACCGCUGCGGGCACGAGACGCACCACCACCACCACCACCGUGCGCAGCACAGUCUCCGCUGUCAUCUCCAGAUUUUCCCGUCGUUCAGACCAGCCGCCGUCGUCACGAAUCCUCCGUCGCGGAUCCGCCGUCGUCGGCUACUUCCUCCAUCAUCUUCUCAUCUCCAUUCCUCUCUCUCGGCUCCCUCCCUCUAUUCUCUCUCGGAUCUGCCGCCAUUACGCCGACUUCCGUGAGGAAAAUUCUUUACUGCCAACUUCCCACUGCUACGUCCUCUCUCUUUCUGCCUUGUUGGAAGUAAUUAGGAGGAGUAUGUUGUUUGUUGGUGGGGUAGUGAAAGUAAUUGUUGGUUGGAAAAUAUAUAUAUUUAGGAAUAUAACAAGUGGCGUGACAAAAUCACCCAAAUAUUCUUCUGCCAGAGGAAAUGAAGAUUAUUCUGACAUCUCACUUAAUGCACAUUAAUUGCUGCUGCUGAAAAAAAUCUGAUCAGGAGGAAACUCGGUUCAAGCUCGUGGUGUCCGCGUUAAAGUAUCCGCUUUCUUAAAACAUACAUUGUAUAAAUUAAAUUUUGUUGGAUGUAUCGGACAUUAAAAUUCUGAUUAUGG